rnacentral:rRNA from 1 species
UACGUAGGGUGCGAGCGUUAUUCGGAUUUACUGGGCGUAAAGGGUCCGCAGGGGGUUUGCCAAGUCCGGUGUGAAAUACCACAGCUCAACUGUGGAACGGCAUUGGAUACUGGCGAACUAGAGUGCACGAGGGGUGAGCGGAAUUCCUGGUGUAGCGGUGGAAUGCGUAGAUAUCAGGAAGAACACCGAUGGCGAAGGCGGCUCACUGGCGUGCAACUGACCCUCAGGGACGAAAGCGUGGGGAG